AGUCCGUUCAGGAGGACGAGGAGAUCCAGGCAUUUGUUCAAGAUGUCUGCUCCUCCGGUAUGAAGUACUGUCCCCAGAAUUGUGAGUUUCCAGAUUCCCUGAAAACUCGGGAGCAGUUGGUCGAGUACCUGACUGUUGUGAUUUUCACAGCUUCAGCACACCAUGCUGCUGUCAACUUCGGACAGUACGACUGGUUUGCCUGGGUCCCAAACAGCCCUUCCACCAUGAGGAAGCCUCCUCCCACACAGAAGGGCCAGGUGGAUAUGAAGUAUAUCAUGGAG